CGGCUUCUUGGGAUGUCACGAGGGUGUGUCCGUGUGGACUCCGUCAAUGAACAGGUCUAGGUGGGCGGGGGUUUCGGCUUUUCCACGCCGGGCAUGUCCCAACAAAUCCAUUGACUGCGCGUUAUCCGGUUAGGCAGCAGCCACAGUAGCAAGAGCAGCAGGAGCAGGAACAGCAGCGAUGUAAUCCCCCACGCGUGAUGUGGAUUUGACCGUCUCUGCUGCGAUGUCUCUCCCGGCCAAAGUGACGCAAGACGGGAUGUUGGAGAAACGCAGCGGCGGUCUCCUUCAGCUUUGGAAGAAGAAGCGCUGCGUCCUGAGCGACGAUGGCUUGCGGCUGCGCAGCUGCAAGGGUCACGCCGCGUCCCACGCACCCUGCGUGGCGUGGAGCUCGGACUCCAGAGCCAAGGAGCUGCUCUUCGAACGCAUGGUGACGGUGGACUGCGUGGAGUACAAGCGGGGUCUGGUGUACUUCACCGUGGUUAUGAGCACCGGCAAGGAGAUCGACUUUCGCUGUCCGCAGGACGGUACGGCGUGGAACGCGGAGAUCGCCUUGGCUCUGGUCCGUUACAAGAACCUCCAAGCCGUGCAGACUGGGAGGAAGAGACUCAUUUCCACUGCUCACCUGAGCGGCGCCGAGGAGGAUGACCAGAUAUCACAACUUGAGUGAAGUGGACGUACUUGUAUUACCAAAAAGACAGUCUUCCCAGCAUGUGCAUCAAAGCCAACGUCUCACUCAAAGUUGCAAUUUGAGCCUGCGUAAUAACCAUUUCUACAUCGUUAGCAUCGACGUUAGCCUAAAGAAGGGCUCUCCGGUCUUUCCCGAAUGACGGGUCGAAGGAGUCGACGUGAACCUUUUCACGCUGGCGCACGGAGCCUAUCUAACUCUUCGCUGUCUGUUAUUUCCGACAAGGUGGGAUAACAUUUUUGCUAUGAAGACAGUCGCGCUUGGAUUCUUUCACCGUGUGUGCCUUGAUAUUUCACAAACUUCUCAGUCACUUGAGGUCUUACAGCUUUGCUCUCCCGUGCAAGGAUUAGCAUGACGAAUAAAUAUUUGUGCACA